rnacentral:rRNA from 1 species
AUUGAACGCUGGCGGAAUGCUUUACACAUGCAAGUCGAACGGCAGCACGGGGGCAACCCUGGUGGCGAGUGGCGAACGGGUGAGUAAUACAUCGGAACGUGCCCGGUCGUGGGGGAUAACGUAGCGAAAGUUACGCUAAUACCGCAUACGAUCUGAGGAUGAAAGCGGGGGACCUUCGGGCCUCGCGCGAUCGGAGCGGCCGAUGUCAGAUUAGGUAGUUGGUGGGGUAAAGGCCUACCAAGCCGACGAUCUGUAGCUGGUCUGAGAGGACGACCAGCCACACUGGGACUGAGACACGGCCCAGACUCCUACGGGAGGCAGCAGUGGGGAAUGUUGGACAAUGGGCGCAAGCCUGAUCCAGCCAUUCCGCGUGCAGGACGAAGGCCUUCGGGUUGUAAACUGCUUUUGUACGGAACGAAAAGGCUCUGGCUAAUACCUGGGGCUCAUGACGGUACCGUAAGAAUAAGCACCGGCUAACUACGUG